UACGUAGGGUGCGAGCGUUAAUCGGAAUUACUGGGCGUAAAGCGUGCGCAGGCGGUUAUUUAAGUCAGGUGUGAAAGCCCUGGGCUUAACCUAGGAAUUGCGCUUGAGACUGGAUAGCUUGGAGUGCGGCAGAGGGAGGUGGAAUUCCACGUGUAGCAGUGAAAUGCGUAGAGAUGUGGAGGAACACCGAUGGCGAAGGCAGCCUCCUGGGCCAGCACUGACGCUCAUGCACGAAAGCGUGGGAGCAAACAGG
rnacentral:rRNA from 1 species